CGGGUCGAAAACGCGGGCUGCUGGUGGGGCUGUGCCCAUUCUUUCUCCCUCUUCUUCCGGUUCCGCUUUACAACCGGAACCGGAAUAAGGAACCUUAGAAUUCACCCUACCUGUCGAUGAAAAAAUAGUGAGAGGAGUUAAGCUGCUUGACCGAAUAGGGCAAGGAGUGAGAGCUAGCGGAUCAGAAAGAUUUUUAUGGAAUGUCCUACUCCUGCCCGAGCUUUCCGAUCAACCAAUCCCCUCUUAUUUUUUUUUAGGGACAUCUCUUUGUUAGGUAGGGCCAGGGAUCACUAAUUAGUCGAAUGAGCCCAUCCCUCUGGCCUAUCAUUUUUUGGUCGAUCCGGCUGUUUAUCUCACUCCUGCAUCUCCUGCGUCUCCAUGGGGCCCCGUC